UACGGAGGGUGCGAGCGUUGUCCGGAAUCACUGGGCGUAAAGGGCGCGUAGGCGGCGCGGAUAGUCGGCGGUGAAAGCCCGGAGCUCAACUCCGGGUCGGCCGUCGAUACUUCCGGGCUUGAGCACUGUAGAGGCAGAUGGAAUUCCGGGUGUAGCGGUGGAAUGCGUAGAGAUCCGGAAGAACACCGGUGGCGAAGGCGGUCUGCUGGGCAGUUGCUGACGCUGAUGCGCGACAGCGUGGGGGAGCAAACGAG
rnacentral:rRNA from 1 species